UACGAAGGGGGGCUAGCGUUGCUCGGAAUCACUGGGCGUAAAGCGCACGUAGGCGGAUUGCUAAGUCAGGGGUGAAAUCCUGGAGCUCAACUCCAGAACUGCCUUUGAUACUGGCGAUCUUGAGUCCGGGAGAGGUGAGUGGAACUGCGAGUGUAGAGGUGAAAUUCGUAGAUAUUCGCAAGAACACCAGUGGCGAAGGCGGCUCACUGGCCCCGGUACUGACGCUGAGGUGCGAAAGCGUGGGGGAGCAAACAGG
rnacentral:rRNA from 1 species